rnacentral:rRNA from 1 species
UACGUAGGGCGCAAGCGUUGUCCGGAUUUAUUGGGCGUAAAGAGCGUGUAGGCGGCUUUACAGGUCCGUUGUGAAAACUCGAGGCUCAACCUCGAGACGCCGGUGGAAACCGUAAAGCUAGAGUCCGGAAGAGGAGAGUGGAAUUCCUGGUGUAGCGGUGAAAUGCGCAGAUAUCAGGAAGAACACCCGUGGCGAAGGCGGCUCUCUGGGACGGUACUGACGCUGAGACGCGAAAGCGUGGGGAGCGAACAGG